UCCUUUUCCCCGUGGAAGAGGGGAAGACGGAAGGGUGGCUGAAGAGGUGUUCAAGCAAAGGAAAGUGGGUCUUAAUUACUCACUUUCACUUUCUGUUCAUCUCAACUGUCUCUGCACCACAGCAUCUUCAGCUCUGAAGGUGUGUAAGAGCCAUCCUUCGGUGUGAUCAGAGAGAACAGGGUAAAAAAAUAAUAGUUUAAUUGCAGGGAAUGAUCUUAAAAGUUUAAGCCACGUUCUCCUCUCCGAUUCAGCAGGGAACAGAAGCCUGAAAAUUAGUUGUAUUGAGUCAAGAUUCUCUCACAAUUACAUCAGUAAAUUAAUUUGUAGUUCAAAUUCACCAUUCCUACAAAUGAUGGAGGCAGUUAAGGGAGCCACAGGUUAAUUCUCUAAUGCCUGAAGACAGCAACGAAGUUGGAAUAAGAAGUAUGCAAGUCUGGAAUCUCUCUUAAAAAUUAAAACAGCUUUAUUUAAAUACAAAGUUACUGUAAAACAUACAUUAGGAUACUCUUCAUACCAAUAUAUUAACUAUUGUAAUCAGUGUACUAUUUAUUAAAGCAUAAUACUUGUGAUAAACAGGAGGAAACAG